GAUGAACGCUGGCGGCGUGCCUAAUACAUGCAAGUCGAGCGAACGGACGAGAAGCUUGCUUCUCUGAUGUUAGCGGCGGACGGGUGAGUAACACGUGGAUAACCUACCUAUAAGACUGGGAUAACUUCGGAAAACCGGAGCUAAUACCGGAUAAUAUUUUGAACCGCAUGGUUCAAUAGUGAAAGACGGUCUUGCUGUCACUUAUAGAUGGAUCCGCGCUGCAUUAGCUAGUUGGUAAGGUAACGGCUUACCAAGGCAACGAUGCAUAGCCGACCUGAGAGGGUGAUCGGCCACACUGGAACUGAGACACGGUCCAGACUCCUACGGGAGGCAGCAGUAGGGAAUCUUCCGCAAUGGGCGAAAGCCUGACGGAGCAACGCCGCGUGAGUGAUGAAGGUCUUCGGAUCGUAAAACUCUGUUAUUAGGGAAGAACAUAUGUGUAAGUAACUGUGCACAUCUUGACGGUACCUAAUCAGAAAGCCACGGCUAACUACGUG
rnacentral:rRNA from 1 species